UGGGGAAUUUUGGACAAUGGGCGAAAGCCUGAUCCAGCCAUGCCGCGUGAGUGAAGAAGGCCUUCGGGUUGUAAAGCUCUUUCGGCCGGAACGAAAUCGCACCCGUGAAUAUCGGGUGUGGAUGACGGUACCGGAAGAAGAAGGACCGGCUAACUACGUGCCAGCAGCCGCGGUAAUACGUAGGGUCCGAGCGUUAAUCGGAAUUACUGGGCGUAAAGCGUGCGCAGGCGGUUUUGUAAGCCAGUCGUGAAAUCCCCGGGCUUAACCUGGGAAUGGCGAUUGGGACUGCAAGGCUCGAGUGCGGCAGAGGGGGGUGGAAUUCCACGUGUAGCAGUGAAAUGCGUAGAUAUGUGGAGGAACAUCAAUGGCGAAGGCAGCCCCCUGGGUCGACACUGACGCUCAUGCACGAAAGCGUGGGGAGCAAACAGG
rnacentral:rRNA from 1 species